rnacentral:rRNA from 1 species
UUCGCAAUGCCCGAAAGGGUGACGAAGCGACGCCGCGUGGGGGAUGAAGGCCUUCGGGUUGUAAACCCCUGUUAGGGAGCAAGAACCGACCUUCGGGUCCUGACUACUCCCAGAGGAAGUCCCGGCUAACUCCGUGCCAGCAGCAGCGGUAAAUCGGAGAGGGCAAGCGUUAUUCGGAAUCACUGGGCAUAAAGCGCAUGUAGGCGGCGGCGCAAGUCAGGUGUGAAAGCCCCCGGCUCACCCGGGGAAUUGCAUUUGAUACUGCGUCGCUAGAGUGAAGGAGGGGAGAGUGGAACUGCUGGUGGAGCGGUAAAAUGCGUAGAUAUCAGCAGGAACGCCGGUGGAGAAGUCGACUCUCUGGCCUUCAACUGACGCUGAGAUGCGAAAGCUAGGGGAGCAAACGGGAUUAGAUACCCCGGUAGUCCUAGCCGUAAACGAUGGGCACUAAGUAGAGGGGUUUU